ACACUCCUGCGGGAGGCAGCAGUGGGGAAUUUUGGACAAUGGGCGAAAGCCUGAUCCAGCAAUGCCGCGUGUGUGAAGAAGGCCUUCGGGUUGUAAAGCACUUUUGUCCGGAAAGAAAUCCUUGGCUCUAAUACAGUCGGGGGAUGACGGUACCGGAAGAAUAAGCACCGGCUAACUACGUGCCAGCAGCCGCGGUAAUACGUAGGGUGCGAGCGUUAAUCAGAAUUACUGGGCGUAAAGCGUGCGCAGGCGGUUUGCUAAGACCGAUGUGAAAUCCCCGGGCUCAACCUGGGAACUGCAUUGGUGACUGGCAGGCUAGAGUAUGGCAGAGGGGGGUAGAAUUCCACGUGUAGCAGUGAAAUGCGUAGAGAUGUGGAGGAAUACCGAUGGCGAAGGCAGCCCCCUGGGCCAAUACUGACGCUCAUGCACGAAAGCGUGGGGAGCAAACAGGAUUAGAUACCCCUGUAGUCCCAU
rnacentral:rRNA from 1 species